rnacentral:misc_RNA from 1 species
GAUGAAGAACGUAGCGAAAUGCGAUACUUGGUGUGAAUUGCAGAAUCCCGUGAACCAUCGAGUCUUUGAACGCAAGUUGCGCCCGAAGCCAUUAGGCCGAGGGCACGCCUGCCUGGGCGUCACACGUCGUUGCCCCCCCAUCUACUCCUUCAGGAUUGCGAGGGGCGGAUGAUGGCCUCCCGUGCGCCUCGUCGCGCGGUUGGCAUAAAUGCCAAGUCCUCGGCGACGCACGCCACGACAAUCGGUGGUUGCGAAACCUCGGUUGCCCGUCGUGUGCGGUCGUCGCGCAUCGAGGGCUCGAAAAAAUUGCCGGGCUCCGGCUCGGCUUUCAACGCGACCCCAGGUCAGGCGGGGUUACCCGCUGAAUUUAAGCAUAUCAAUAAGCGGAGGA